rnacentral:rRNA from 1 species
GACGAACGCUGGCGGCGUGCUUAACACAUGCAAGUCGAACGGAAAGGCCCUGCUUUUGUGGGGUGCUCGAGUGGCGAACGGGUGAGUAACACGUGAGUAACCUGCCCUUGACUUUGGGAUAACUUCAGGAAACUGGGGCUAAUACCGGAUAGGAGCUCCUGCUGCAUGGUGGGGGUUGGAAAGUUUCGGCGGUUGGGGAUGGACUCGCGGCUUAUCAGCUUGUUGGUGGGGUAGUGGCUUACCAAGGCUUUGACGGGUAGCCGGCCUGAGAGGGUGACCGGCCACAUUGGGACUGGGAUACGGCCCGGACUCCUACGGGAGGCAGCAGUGGGGAAUAUUGCACCAUGGGCGGAAGCCUGAUGCAGCAACGCCGCGUGCGGGAUGACGACCUUCGUGUUGUAAACCGCUUUCGCCUGUGACGAAGCGUGAGUGACGGUGAUGGGUAAAGAAGCACCGGCUAACUACGUG